GUGCUUGUACUUCUCCUGUCUACUGUAUCAUAGGAGCUUAGAAUCCCAGCUGCUUGCGUUCAGCUGCAGUUCUCUGAUGACUCGCACAGGGUGGAGCAGUCCCCUUCCCCUAUGUGUGUGUCUGCUGCUGGCCUGUGGAUUUGCUGAGGCAGGGAAGCUGCUGGUAGUGCCCAUGGAUGGGAGCCACUGGUUCUCCAUGAGGUCGGUGGUGGAGAAACUCAUUCUCAGGGGGCAUGAGGUGGUCGUAGUCAUACCAAAGGUGAGUUGGCAACUGGGAAGAUCACUGAAUUGCACAGUGAAGACUUAUUCAACCUCAUACACUCUGGAGGUUCUGGACCAGGAGUUCAAGGCUUUUGCCCAGGCUCAAUGGAAAGCACGAGUACAAAGUAUAUUUUCUCUAAUAAUGGGUUCAUACAAUGACAUUUUUGACUUAUUUUUUUCAAAUUGCAGGAGUUUGUUUAAGGACAAAAAAUUAGUAGAAUACUUAAAGGAGAGUUCUUUUGAUGCGAUGUUUCUGGAUCCUUUUGAUACCUGUGGCUUAAUUGUUGCCAAAUAUCUCUCCCUCCCCUCUGUGGUCUUCGCCAGGGGAAUAUUUUGCCACUAUCUUGAAGAAGGUGCGCAGUGCCCUGCUCCUCUUUCCUAUGUCCCCAGAAUUCUCUUAGGGUUCUCAGAUGCCAUGACUUUCAAGGAGAGAGUACGGAACCACAUCAUGCACUUGGAGGAACGUUUAUUAUGCCACCGUUUUUUCAAAAGUGCCCUAGAAAUAGCCUCUGAAAUUCUUCAAACACCUGUCACGGUAUAUGAUCUUCACAGACAAAUAUCAAUUUGGUUGCUGCGAACGGACUUUGUUUUGGACUAUCCCAAACCCGUGAUGCCCAACAUGGUCUUCAUUGGUGGUAUCAACUGCCAUCAGGGAAAGCCAGUGCCUAUGGUAAGUGGUCUCUCCUUUAGCACAUUAAGAAUAUUUCAGCUUUAGAAAUUAAAAAAGGAUUCU